rnacentral:rRNA from 1 species
UCGGAGUUGCAGCCUGCAACUCGGCUGCAUGAAGCUGGAAUCGCUAGUAAUCGCGGAUCAGAAUGCCGCGGUGAAUACGUUCCCGGGUCUUGUACACACCGCCCGUCACACCAUGGGAGUAGGUAAUGCCGGAAGUCGGUGACCUAACCGGAAGGAAGGAGCCGCCGAAGGCAGGACUUAUAACUGGGGUGAAGUCGUAACAAGGUAAC